UUACGGCCACAUCACGUCGAAACAGCGGUUCCCGUACGAUCACUGAAGUUAAGUAACGUAGAGCCUGGUCAGUAUUUAAAUGGUCGAUCGCUUGGAAAUACCAGGUUCUGUAAG